UGCCNUCAUUAANNUNGGGCACUCUAGAGAGACUGCCNGGNGACAAACCGGAGGAAGGUGGGGAUGACGUCAANNCAUCAUGCCCCUNACGCNNNNGGCUACACACGUACUACAAUGGCCGGGACAAAGAGUCGCAAGCAUGCGAAUGCAAGCUAAUNUCAUAAACCCGGUCUUAGUUCAGAUUGCAGGCUGCAACUCGCCUGCAUGAAGGCGGAAUCGCUAGUAAUCGCAGGUCAGCAUACUGCGGUGAAUACGUUCCCGGGCCUUGUACACACCGCCCGUCACACCAUGGAAGCUGGUCACGCCCGAAGUCGUUAUCUCAACCCGCAAGGGAGGGAGGCGCCUAAGGCAGGGCUGGUGACUGGGGUGAAGUCGUAACAAGGUAGCCGUACCGGAAGGUGCGGCUGGAUCACCUCCUUAUAGGGAGACCUAUUUAUGUCUAGACUGAACCAAUACAGAAUUAGGUCAGACAUAAGUCAUCCCAAGGUCGUUCGAGAUUUAUUGGAAAGCUUUCAAACUAAGUCAGGUUCUAAAUUUGGCUAACAUAAAGGGCCAUUAGCUCAGUUGGUUAGAGCGCACCCCUGAUAAGGGUGAGGUCACUGGUUCGUGUCCAGUAUGGCCCACUUGAGAAUCUAACAACUAGAAGCCAAAAGCUGAAAGUGAUAGACAACUCUGGGGAUAUAGCUCAGUUGGUAGAGCGCCUGCUUUGCACGCAGGAAGUCAGGAGUUCGAAUCUCCUUAUCUCCACCAAACUACUAAAACCAACAAAAGCAAAAGCAAGAGUUUAGCAACUCAUCUAGUCAGGUAAAACCUAAACAACUAGAGAGACUGCUAAAUUCUAGCGAAAGCGAGAAUUUAGAAAGAACCUUGAAAACUGCAUAGUAAUAGUAAUAAGAAGCAAGUAGAUCCAAAGUGGAGACACAGAGGUCAAGCUACAAAGGGCUCACGGUGGAUACCUANGNNCACAGAGA
rnacentral:misc_RNA from 1 species